rnacentral:rRNA from 1 species
AGUGAACGCUGGCGGUAGGCCUAACACAUGCAAGUCGAACGGCAGCACAGUAAGAGCUUGCUCUUACGGGUGGCGAGUGGCGGACGGGUGAGGAAUACAUCGGAAUCUACUUUUUCGUGGGGGAUAAGGAGGGGAAACUUAGGCUAAAACGGAAUAGGACUAAGGGGGGAAGGAAGGGGACCUUGGAACUUGGGGGGAUGAAAGAGGCCGAUGUCGGAUUAGCUAGUUGGCGGGGUAAAGGCCAACCAAGGCGACGAUCCGUAGCUGGUCUGAGAGGAUGAUCAGCCACACUGGAACUGAGACACGGUCCAGACUCCUACGGGAGGCAGCAGUGGGGAAUAUUGGACAAUGGGCGCAAGCCUGAUCCAGCCAUACCGCGUGGGUGAAGAAGGCCUUCGGGUUGUAAAGCCCUUUUGUUGGGAAAGAAAAGCAGCAGGUUAAUACCCCGCUGUUCUGACGGUACCCAAAGAAUAAGCACCGGCUAACUUCGUG